CACAAGAGGCAGAAAAAGGUACUGAAUGAAAGAAUACACAGACAGACAGACAGAUGGUUAAUUUUGUCUGGGAAAGUGGGAGUUGCUCAGCCGAAUUGGUACCACAAGAGGCAGAAAAAGGUACUAAUGGAAUAAUACAUACACACAGACAGAAGAUGGAUGUUUAAUUUUGUUUGGAAAAGUGGGAGUUGCUCAGCCGAAUUGAUAUCACUAGAGGCUUUAAUAGUAUGAGUAAAAAAAUGAAUGAGAAGGGAAUGUAUGUGGGCAGAUGAAUGACCAGAGCUGAGUGAGAUGAAUGAGACAGCAGACAGACAGACACACACACACACACAGACAGAGAUGGAGACAGCAGACACACACACACACACACACACACACACUGACAGAGAGAUGGAGACAGCAGACACACACACACACUGACAGAGAGAUGGAGACAGCAGACACACACACACACACACACACACACUGACAGAGAGAUGGAGACAGCAGACACACACACACACACACACACACACACUGACAGAGAGAUGGAGACAGCAGACACACACACACACACACACACACAGACAGAGAGAUGGAGACAGCAGACACACACACACACACACACACUGACAGAGAGAUGGAGACAGCAGACACACACACACACACACACACACACACACACACACACACACAGACACACUGACAGAGAGAUGGAGACAGCAGACACACACACACACACACACACACACUGACAGAGAGAUGGAGACAGCAGACACACACACACACACACACACUGACAGAGAGAUGGAGACCGCAAAAGCCCCCAUAGUGUGUCGUAGGCAAUAUACAAUCACAGUGACGCAGCUUCCCACCUCGACUGUACUUUUUGAUUAUGGUUCAAAACUAAAGGAAGGGAAGGGAAGGAUAGGCAUACAUGUUAUUGAAAAAAAAUAUACUAGUUACAUAUUAGUCUGGACAGAGCAUAGGGACGAAAAUUAAAGCGAGAAAUCAUUUAGGUACAUUGUAUUAAAGGUAUUUGUAUAUUAUAGGUACAAAAAUUACACUGAGCGAAUAUUUUUAAGUACAUGUUCUGGGGGUUAACACAGAAUGGGUGUAACAUUAUCAAGGUGAACAAAUAGACUGGGUACAUGUUAUCAAGGUGAACAAAUAGACUGGGUACAUGUUAUCAAGGUGAACAAAUAGAAUAGGAACAUGUUAUCAAGGUGAACAAAGAAUGAGUACAUACUAAAGUAAAUACAGAAUGGGUGUGUGUUAUCAAGCUCAACCAAUGCACUGUUAAUCUAUUGUUACACCCAACACUGAAAAAAUAUAUAGAAGCUCUCUUAACCCCUUCUGUACCUGAUGUGUGUUAUGUGGCACAGGUGGCACAAACCCCCCCCAGCACAGAAGGGUCAAGGGGCCUUUGCUAUUGGUUAGGAUGGUACAAUGUUAUCUGAAGGAACCAAAACUAGUGUAGCAAUAAUAAGGUGAGGGCUGUAACACAAGGGCCAUAAUAAUGUCUUGGCAGGGAAAAUGCCCCUAAAAUACACACAAACCAGCCCUUUCUCGGCAUUGACAGACAGAUGAAGAAAACGGGAUAUAUCACCAAGGGAGGAGGAAAGGCUGAAUAAAAAAAAUGUUAAAUAUUAUAACUUAGAGGAAUGAGAGGAAAUAUAAAGUUGUCAAAAUUAAGUUAAAGGAAUGAUGAAAAAUAGUUACUAUUAAAACUUAAAGGAAUGAUAUAAGAAUAAACAUACAAGUUAGGUUUUUAAGUACAUACACACAACUCAUACGUAAGGUAACACACGCACGCACGAACAUAACAGCUGCCGAAGAGUGAAACUACGAGACUAAAAAUAAAGAUGCGAUAUAUAUUCAAUAAUACAAAGACACGAACAGCUGCCGGCAAUAACAAUGGAACACAAAGAAAGUGGUAGUUUUUUACGAGAACAAACGUAGGCACGAACAAAUUUAACGGCUGCCGAGAGUGGAUUUACGAAACUAAUGAUAAAAAGAUGCGAUAACAUGGUAAAUAAUGUGAGGAUUUUAAUUAUGGAGAAAGAUUUUAACGAGAAAACAGAGAAGGUAAGACACACGCACGAACAAACAUAUCAGCUGCCGAGUGGAAUUACAAAGCUAAAAAUAAAGAUACGAUAAAAUGGUUAAUAAUACAAACAUCUGCCGCUUGUAAUUAUAUAAUACAAAGAGGAAGGAAGAUUUAAAUGAGAAGGAAAACUGAAGAUAUAAAGAUUUUAGCAUUAGAAAACAUAGAGGGAGAGAGAGAGGAAGAUUAUAGAGAAAACACACAAGGUAGGAAACACAUUAGAACACAGAAUCAGAUUUCAACGUCGGAGAACACAAGGGAUUUGGGUUUCAACACCAGAACGUAAGGAAGACGAAAUUAAGACCAGAAUUUUUGAGAUUAAAAUAUUUUCUGAGAAUCGAGUAUUCGUAAAGAGAUUCAGGCGUUUCUUCAAGAGAUUCAAGCAUUUUUUCCAAGGAAUUCAAGCAUUUUUUCCAAGGAAUUCAAGCAUUUUUUCAAGAGAUUAAAGUAUUUUCAAGAGAUUCAAGCAUUUUCUCCAAGGGAUUCAAGUAUUUUUAAGAGAUUCAAGCAUUUUUCAGCAUUAUUUUAAGGGAUGCAAGCAUUUUUCAAGAGUCAAGUAUUUUUUCAAGAGAUUCAAGCAUUUUUCAGCAUUAUUUCAAGGGAUGCAAGGAUUUUUCAAGAGAUUCAAGCAUUUUCCAGCAUUUUUUCAAGAGAUUCAAGCAUUUUUCAGCAUUAUUUCAAGAGUUUCCAGCAUUUCCAUUCAAGCUUCAAUGAUUUUCCCAGAGAGGAGAUUUCAGUUGACAAAUAAAAUAAUCCUAAAAGCCUUUCUAUAUUGACACAAGGGAAACUUAACCCAACCUUGCUUCAUUAACUAAACAGUCAUUACCAAACACAUUACCAAAGCAGUGAUGGGUGGUAGUAGUAGUAGUAGUAGUAGUAUAAAUGUCUACUAGUAAUAUAUGGUAGUAGUAGUAGUAGUAGUAGUAUAAAUGUCUACUAGUAAUAUAUGGUAGUAGUAAUAGUAGUAGUUGUAGAUUUUGGAUGGACAUAUGUAGUAGUAGUAUGGUGGUAGUAGUAGUAGUAGUAGUAGUACCCAAGACUCAUUCAUAACAAUCUCAUUCUUGCACUUUCCGAAAUCUCUCUUUUUAAUCAGUUUCUGCGUCGUAGCGAAACACAGACACAGACAGUUUAUAGAUGAAGGAUUAGCACAGAGAGGAACAGUUUACAGAUGGGACAAAGACAGACAGAGACAGAUGGGGACAGAUUACAACCCCUUGAGAUGGAAAAUUAAAAAAAGACAGACAGACAAGAUUUAUAGAUGGACAGGAUUAAGACACAGACAGACAGACAGGGUAUAGAAGGGUUAACAGACAGACUGACAGACAUGGACAGUUUAAAAUCCCUUGAGAUGGAAAAUAGACAAAAAAAAACAGACAAGAUUUAUAGAUGGACAGGAUUAAGACAGACAGGUUACAGGAGAAGGGUUAAAGACAGACAAAUGGACAGUUUAAAAUCCCUUGAUGGAAAAUACAGACAAAACAAUGGACAGAAAGUUUAUAUAAAAAGACAGAUACAGUUUAUAGAUGGAACAGACAGACAGAGACAGGUUA